rnacentral:rRNA from 1 species
AUACGGAGGGUGCAAGCGUUAAUCGGAAUUACUGGGCGUAAAGCGCUCGUAGGCGGCUUGUAAAGUCGGAUGUGAAAGCCCCGGGCUCAACCUGGGAACUGCAUUCGAUACUGGCAGGCUAGAGUAUAGUAGAGGCAAGUGGAAUUCCGGGUGUAGCGGUGAAAUGCGUAGAUAUCCGGAGGAACAUCAGUGGCGAAGGCGACUUGCUGGACUAAUACUGACGCUAAGGAGCGAAAGCGUGGGGAGCAAACGGGAUUAGAAACCCCGGUAGUCC